UGGAACCUGAUGUGGGAGGAAACAGAGAGGCUGAGAUGUCAGAUGAGGAAGGAAGCAGAGGCAAGGGAGUUAGGAGAUGGCGAGGGGAUAUGGAGCAUCUUGGCCACUGGUUCAAAUCUGACCCAAGUGGGGAGUGCCCAGAUGUCCUCAUCAUGAUGGCUCUGUGGUUCCCCACGUGCAAUGCACUGGCUGCCUCAGUCCAGUGGGCGUCAUCGGCAGGCUCAGCAGAGAGGCUGGGGACUGAAUGGUGCCAUGGAGCCUGGACUCCCCCUAGAGGUGGCCCAUCAAGGUCAGGUUUGAGGCCCAUCGGGAGACCAGCACUGGGCGUGGUGCUUGCACUGCAGCUGCCUGGGGUGCGUGGCUAAACUGAGGAUUUUAAUCUCCAGGGCCAUUACUCUGGGGCCUGUCGCUGUCGCUUCAAUAACCCACUGAAAGCAGAUUUGGAGCAGAGCAUUGUAUGGCGACAGAAGCUGCAUUCGGAACCACAGGCCAAACUUGCCAAAUCUGAUGGCAACAGCUAGUCCCCGAGGUCCAGAGCGAGACACCUAACCGAGUGGGGCUGAGCCCCACGGCUCUUCUGGAGUCAGGCGAAGUUGCCUGGGGCAGAAGCCAGAGCAUUUGCUUUCCCGAGUCCCACGGGCCCCCUGCCCCUAGCUUCCCAGCCUACCGUUCUAGGAGGUCGAGCCGAAGUUGAUGGCCAUGGGGCAGGGUGAGCAGCUCCAUGCCUGAGCUCACUCCCAUGAGCCUCUGCAUCUCCUUGGUAACACCCAGUAUCCUAGCAACCUGCAACAAAGAGGGAAAGCAGCUGAAGCUCCUCUGAUUGAGGGGAGGGGGCUUGGCUCGUGCAGAGAAAGUUUUUGCUCUGGACAGGCUCUGCUAUGAGGCAGCCACAAGCUUAGGUCUUCCCCCUUUCUCACCACACACCAGCCUCAGCAUGGGCAGGGCUCAGCCAGGAAAGCACGGAUGCUUGGGGCGCCCUGAGCUGCUGCCAGCGGGGGGUUUACACACACAGGGCAAGCCAAGAGAUGGACAGUAGAGGGGAUCAGCAGGGACUGGAACGCCACAGGGUUGAAAGACGAGCCCAUCUCCACAGUGGGGCUGAGGGAUUCCUACCGGUGCUGUAGGCUGGAGACAGUGGGCUCUCGGAGAUGGGAGACAUUGGGGAAUGGAGAUCUUGGAUUUGGUCCACGCUGACUGCGCAGUUCCGGAUGACGUCUCGAUGAUGCGAUCCUCAGCAGUUGUGUCUGAAAAUGCAAAUCAGUUGCAGGAGUAAUGCAUGUUUCCAUCAAACCCCGCAGAACUUCUUUUAGCCUCUCCAUCCAGAGAGCGGUUUCUUUGAUACGAUCCAUCACCUGCUACAGAUGUGGGACCGGAGGAUGCCAUCCAUGGUGGAACGGCUAAGAAGCCCAAGGACCAGGAAAAGCAAGGGAGACCAAUACUUGGGACACACAGAGGGACAUGACAAGGGUCUUGGAGUGAAUGAUGGAAGCAGGUAAAAAUGAUGCCCACUUUAAGAGACUGGACAGGUUCAGGCAGAAGUGGAAUGAGAGGGGAAGGAGACCUGAGACCAGGCAAUUCUACUGAGAGCUUUUCAAGGACUUGGGCAUCACAUUGAACCUAAUAACUGGCCCCUGCACCUGCCAGAUACAGGUUAAUAGUGCUCUUUGGAGCACCUCCUACUCUCCAGCUCCUCCAUAGCCCUCACUCCGGUAUUGCACCCCUCUGCCACAGUCACCUAAGAGGACUAGAAUCCCCAGUUAGAUGGGCAAGAUGCACCUGUAAAAUAAUGUUACCAUUGUUCGUGUAACUACGUUUCUCUGGUUUGCCAUUGCAGCCGGCCUGAAUUUUUGUUUGUGUAUAAUAAAGUAGAAUCUG